UAAUUUGAUGUCUUUCUCCACC
rnacentral:miRNA from 1 species